UACGUAGGGAGCAAGCGUUGUCCGGAAUCAUUGGGCGUAAAGCGCGCGUAGGCGGCCCUGUAAGUCCGCUGUGAAAGUCAAAGGCUCAACCUUUGAAUGCCGGUGGAUACUGCAGGGCUAGAGUCCGGAAGAGGCGGGUGGAAUUCCUGGUGUAGCGGUGGAAUGCGCAGAUAUCAGGAGGAACACCAAUUGCGAAGGCAGCUCGCUGGGACGUAACUGACGCUGAGACGCGAAAGCGUGGGGAGCAAACAGG
rnacentral:rRNA from 1 species